AUCAUCAUUGCUCUUCGUCCCGUAUGGGACAUAAGGCCACAGUCACUUCUUUCCAUUUGGCCCUAUCUCUGGCUAUGUGCUGGGCCUGUCCCCAUGUAAGGUCCCCCUCCCUCAGCUCUGCCAUCACUGUUCGGCGCCAGGUGGUCUUGGGCCUUGCUCUCUUUCUUUUUCCAGGUGGUGUCCAUCUCAAAGCUACCUUUGGUACUCGGUUCUCAUCCAUCCUAAGUACAUGGCCGAGCCAUUUAAAUCGCCGUCGCUUGAUCUGCCCUACAAUACUCUGGCUCCCUGUCAGGUGCUGUCGUACUGUUGUUAAUGCACAUGACCUGGGUUUUGGUGGUGCUGAUGGCAAGUCCCGCUUGUGCAGUAAAGCUACUCCGACGGUCAGUCUUCUCCUGGAGAUGGCUGAUAAUAACCAUAUAAGCCAUAAAUAACCAGCACUACCAGAGUGGAUGAAUGUUAGUGUCAGGUAUGGUUUUGUUCGUGCUAAAUAAUUGUGCGGUGUGUUGGUUAAUUCGUGGGUUAUGUGGUUAUUAUGGGUGUUAUUGCUAAAAGAUCUGCGGGUAGUGUUAGUGAACGCCUAAUCCGUUUAUAUGUUGCCACAGAUGCUGUCAGGAACAUAACUCUAAAUGAUGAUAGGGAGUGUCUUUCAAUGAACUUAUUGUAAGUCGAGACAUUGGGAUAAAAGAACUGAAGCACACUGGGUAUAUGCUUCUUCAUCAAAAUGAGUAAUAAUAAUAAUUAGACGUGAAGUAUGAGGGCCCGUGUCUUGUGCCGAUUGUAAUUGUACGUAAACUUUCUUUGCUUUUGAAAAUGGGAUGCAAGUGACCUCCCUCAAAAACAAAGACGUCUUAGGCUACGUGAAAAUGGCCGCAUAUCUCCAAAAUGUGGAUCGGUUUUCAUUCUUGUGCCAUGUUUUAGAAAUAGAAGAAGGCGACAGGGUAAGGUGAAGAUGAAGCUUAUGUGUAUAUGUGUGUAUCAGACCAUCUUUGCUGCUUCCGUACUUGAUCCUGUUCUGGUAAAAACUGAAAGAAUCAACAUCGUGUGUAAAAUAGUAUUUUAUGUCCUCCAGAAGUUGACAGGACGUUUGCAUGUUAAAGUAUUUGCUGUUCUUAAAAUGUUAUUUUUGAACCUAGCCAUUCAGCUGAAGUAUUAUUUCAUUUUUCAUUUUUUCUACUUUUAUUUCAACUUUUUUCCCAAAUAUAACAGAAUCCUUUUUGUAUGAAAUUUUAUCAUAUCAGUUUUCCAAAAAAGUUUUACAAUAGAUCGUUCUAAAAUCCCUCAUCAAAAGGAUGAAUUUCCACAAGCGAAAUCAUGAUAACACUUCUGAUAUAUGUUUUUCUCCGCAAAAUGUUUAUUUAUAUAUUUUUAGAACUACCCAGGGGAUAUUGUUGUAGAAAACAAACACUAUGCAGACUAGUAUGUAGAUAUAAUGGUAAAGUAGUUGUUAAUUACAGCGUAUUGUCAUCGGUAAGACACGACUGAUUCCGUACCUUUAUUGCGCAGUGGAGAUAUGCGGGAUCACACAAAGAUGUCCAAAUGUGCAUUAGGAAAUGUCAUAAUUACUUAAUUCAUUGUUUUUGAUAAGCUUCAUUGCUUUAGUUUUAAGAGGAUACACAGACAUAAAGUGUAACUAAUAGGUUAGAUUUUAGCAUGAGAUAUGAGGGCAUUGCGUUGUGAGUCAUCAGUGGAGAAGAUGAUAGAUGUGACGGUUGAGCUCCACUAAACACAAUAGAUAUUUUUAACUUUUAUACUUCACCGCCAGAGGUCUCUGCUGUCUUUAAAAACAUUCAGUUGAGAAAGAUACAGAUGAAGCAUAAUCUACGUUAACAUGUAAUAACUAGUGUUACUUGAUCCAAUGGAUCUCUGCCCGCUUCUUAUUUCUUAAGCUUAGGACUGUAGGAUAUAAUGGUAAAGGGAUCUUACAGUAAAAUCUAGACGUGUUGUAUUUUUUAAACGAGUUUAAAUAUCACAAAUGUUUACCCGCCUAUCACCUCUGCGUGGUCUGCGUGUUAUGGUGUAAACCAGUUGACGUUUUUCUUUUCUUUUCUAUUCUUUUCUUUUCUUUUUCUUUUUUUUUAAAGAAAUCUCUGGACAUCUUACAGCUCAAUAUAAAGGGUAAAUUUUAAAUAAAUUUCUUUGAUAGUGUAUGUCAUAUUUUUAGAAUAUAUAAUUUAGGUUGUAAAUUGCCAUCUCUAACAAAUGUGAAGAUAUUAUGAUUGCAUUGUGUAUGGUAAAACUCAUUGAUUUCGCUGUCAUAUUUAGUUUAUUGCAAUCAUCUCAUAAAUGUAGUCAUGGGACUUACACAAGCUGUUUGAGGUCACUGGUGGAUUGAAAAAACUAUAAAUAAAACUGUUGAAUUGCAUGUUCAUAUA